CACAGCAGCAAAGAGAAACAGAGGGCCCAAGGUGGCAGAAGAGGAAGGAAAUCCCAGAGGAAGAGAAACUGAACAGGGGAGGCACCCAAAGGGAAGCCCGAGACGAGGCUGACAAAGGAAAGACCCGAUGAACCAACCAAGCGAGGUUGGCCAAGGGCAGAGUCCCGGCAGAGAUCGAACGUGAGGAAGAGAGAUGGAGAGACACAGGUGGCAAAGCAGAAAGGCCAGGACUGCUGUGAGACGAGACAGUCUGCUCUGAAGAAACACCAAACAAGCCUUCGUGCCACCGUCCUCCCUGCGAGGCCCUCUCUGGGCCUCCACCCUACCCCUGCAUGCCCUAGGCCGGGUGCUGAGACUCACAGGCAGGGCCAUGCACACUCAUGCCUCGGGCAGCCCUAAUCCCCCUGCCUCUUGGGUUGAAGGGGCGUUGGGACAAGGUACACCAGGACAGAGACUCUUCCACCCUGGACCUCCGAGUGCACCUGCCGCUGCUGUCAAAGAAACGGGGAGCACCCUUCCUGCUCCCGAUCCCCGCCCACGGGGGGCUGAAGGGGCCGAGGGUGGCGAUGGCGAUGUUGAUAACAUCAUUUGCAAGACAGCCUACUUACCAGACGACUUCACAAGCACCAGCUCAAAGGAGUAUCACAACCACGUGUGACGUUGGGGAAUCGGCCAUUUUACGGCCCAGAGGAGCUGACGCACCCUCGUGUCCCUCCUCAGCCCCCACCGCCCACAGCAGCUGCCGGGUACCCUGACGCUCUCUGGCCCGCGAACAUCAGCGCCUUCAUGCCGCGGCCGGACAGUGUCCCACACGACCCGCAGGUGAUCCCGUCCAUCGGAGCUCGGGGAAGCCAACAGAACUACCAGCCCAGCCCCCAGCAGCCUUUCAGAGCAGGCUGCCAAGCUGCAGAUCCCCCCCCCCCUCCUUUUUUUUCUAGAAUGGCUCAGAAUUAGAUCAGGGUAUAGAACUGAACGAAAGACCACCCCUCCUCAAAAACAGAUCCACAUCCACAACACUGUCCCACGGGAAGAUGCUUUAGCUUCACCAAAUGCUUCUUUUCAAAUACUAUCCGAUCCUAACGGUCGCGUAUAUUUCAGCCUGCAUUCUUAGAUCAGAUUGCUUUCCAGACCGCUGAGAUCGGCCUGCAUUUAGGCGGAGCAAAGAAAAGUAAGGUUGGGACAGGGUGUAACUCGGGAGAGAAUGGCACUAUUCUCCUUCCGGGAAUCAAAUUAAUACGGCUUUACUGAUGGCCUGCUUUUGCCUGGGCAACUUAGUCAUCACCGAGGGUACGACACACACGAUCACUGCCUCCAGGAGCUUACAGUCUAACAGAAUUCACAGGGUCCCCCCUGCCCCCCAGCCUCCACACUGCUGUCGGACCUGACAGCUCUUUCCAGGGCAAACAACAUGGUCCCAGCCAUGCUCACUCCUGCAAUAUCUCUACGGUCUGGCCUUCUCUCUCCGCGCCCCCUCUCCAAAUCAAUAAACUUGAAAAAAAAAAUACAAUUUAUAUAAAUAAAUAAAUAA